UUAUGCUUUACAAGUUGAAAACAGCAAGUCUCACUUUAUUUCAUGAUUUCUCAAAUUCACAUACAACCUGCCAUGCUUUACUGAGCUGGAAGCCAGACAACUUGGAUACACCACAACCUGCCUCCUCUUUACAUCAAAUACAUUCUGAGAAAAUAGAGGCGGCCAUUAGUGCUGAAAGUUCUAUACACACUCCAUCACCAAAAAUCCCUCUUAGUGUAUUAUCUUCCUAAUCCUUCUUUUCUGUGUCAGAAAAGUACUUUCUUUUCACUCCAGAUCUGACACCUCUUUCAUUUAUUCAUCGUCUGUGUGCUCAGGAGAGUUGAGGACAGGUUUUCAGGAGCGACAUGGCAUGAUGUGAUAUACAUGCAGACAUAAUUUUCUGGCCACAGGGUUAGAGAGUAUGUGAUAGAUGGGGGCUAGAUUAGAAACAUGAAGCUGGGAUAAGAAGGUAUUGUAGUAGUGUGGUGAGAGGCCACAGCAGUGUGCACUGGAGGGAUAGAGAGAAAUAGUGGGAUUUAGGGAUUAUGUUGAACAUCAAGUUUCCUGAACUUGUGAAAGGUAUCAAAGCGAGGGAAGAAUAAGAGAAAAAUCAUGAUGACUCUAUGGUUUGUCAGCUGAACCGCUGGGUAAAUAGUGCUGAAGUGUGGCAGGAGCCAGGGCACAACUGCCCUCCAGAGCAUUCUUCCCGACUCUGGUUCAAUGACCUCAGGUUGACAGCUUGACUUUGAUAAAUAUUAGCAUUAUUUACAUGAAGGAAAUCUGCAAACACUACAAUCUAGAGCUUCUCUACCCUCCUCAACCCUGACAGAUGUUAAAGCUUUACUGGCACAUAUCUGGAUGGUGUCAUUAUCUGCAAUGUGGAAGGCUACAAGUAGAGCUGUUUUGGAGAGGGGCAAGUUCGAGAGUUCAGUUGAAACUCAUGAAACCUACUGAGUUUUAUUUGUCUAUUAGACACCUAAGUGGAGAUGCAUGUCCACAAGUAAGUCUGAGUCUGAAAUUGAGGAGCAAUUUAUAUUCUAGAGGUCAAAUUUAGAGCCCCAAGACUGCAUGGGGUCACCUAGGAAGAGAACGCAGUGAAGGACAGGAGAGGUACCAGGAUUGAGUUUUGAGGCCCUAUGAUAUUUAGAGGUGGAAAGAAAAGGCAAAACCAGAAAAAGAGGAUGAAAGGGAGUUGCUAUUAGAGGGAAAAGAAAGCUAUAAGCUUAUGGUGUCUGAGCACCCAACGUACACAUGGAGGAGGGAGUGAACAACUGUGUCAAAUGCUGUGGAGAAGGAAUGGCAAUGUGCUGCACACACUAGUGACCUUGAUGAGAAUGUUUCAGUGGGGUCGAGGAGGCAGAUACCAGACUGCACCGGAUUAGAGCAUGCAUAGGUGGUGAUAACACAAAGAGCAAGUGCAGAUCCAGUCUUGCUGAGUCCACUUGCUCCUACUGCCAGGGAAACCUGCUUUAUCCUCCUCACCCUUGCAGCCACUCCAAAAGGUUGCAGCAGACAUGCUCACCUCUUUCCAUUUCUCCAUUAAUUACUGUGGCAUUUACUUGCUAAGCAAUGUAUUCAUUACUGUUAAUUACUGUGUGUUAAUUACUAUAUAAUUAUAAUUUUUUUCACCUCAUGUAGAUUGAGAUCCUUGAAACAGGGUCUCUGCUCCCUGUGGGGUUUAUUGUACCUACCAAAUAGAUGAUUUAGUAAUGGCUUACUUAAUGAACACAAACUGAACACAAAGGAAGGAACACAAAAAGGGAAAUAAAAUUGUUUAGCGUCUUAGUCCUCUAGGAGCCAUAAGGAAAUCACAACCACUACUCUAUACCUGUAUGUACAAGGG
rnacentral:lncRNA from 1 species